rnacentral:rRNA from 1 species
UACGUAGGGUGCGAGCGUUGUCCGGAAUUAUUGGGCGUAAAGCGCACGUAGGUGGUUUGCUAAGCCAGCUGUGAAAUCCCCGGGCUCAACCUGGGCACUGCAGUUGGAACUGGCAAGCUAGAGUAGGGUAGAGGGGUGUGGAAUUCCAGGUGUAGCGGUGAAAUGCGUAGAUAUCUGGAGGAACAUCAGUGGCGAAGGCAAUCUCCUGGACCUGCACUGACGCUCAUGCACGAAAGCGUGGGGAGCAAACAGG